AGGAGUGGUGCCUUAUGGGUGGGCCCCUUCCUGGUUCGGCAUGAUAUUGAGCGGGCACGCUUAGCCGCUCCACUUCCACCACUUGGUUUCUUUUGCCUCACUCCCGGUGCAGCACGUCAUCGUGCAGCGAGUUGCCAGCCUCCUUCUGUGCGCUAUCUGGGUAUGCUCCUCGUUUUCUGCAGCUCAGCAGGCAGGAAAUCUGUGGUUGUCGUGUUGUGGGGGAGACGUAAUCCGUAGGUCGUUACGGUGGCAUCAGCAGCUGUGGUGCUCCUCCCUCCUUUCCUGUGAUUAAGCGGCUCCUUCAUUGUUGUGGGGCAACGGUGGUGGUGUAGGGGCCCAGGGUGUUGGAGUGUUGUGCUUCACCCACCACGCAGGAUUGGACCUUCAUGGUGUGAUUGUGGUGUGUGAGUCACGUGUGACUGGGAUGCUUAUUUCUUUCUUUAGGGACCAUCACUGCUGGUGUCUCCUUCU